rnacentral:lncRNA from 1 species
GCCAUUUCAAAGUUUGUUACUUCAAAUGGGUAGAAGAGAUUGUUGUGAGAGAAUGCAGCAACUGAAAUCAACCUGCAGUGCUGGUGCUGGAAUAAUGUGGAAAAAACACAUCCUCAAGAAAAGUUGGAGCACAGAAAACACCUGAAAUGAUACACAGAAACAGUCUUUUUGAAAUUCUCAUUUGGGACAUCCUCUAAAUCCUGGAAACCUCGUGUUGAAGAUUUGAUUUGACCAACUGUCGCUCAAAUGAUUAGCAUGUCAACAAAAUAAACUUGGAUAGCAUUUCCAGAUGUGGUAUUAAUCAACAAGAGCUUGGCCAUACCAAAUGUCAGUAUCAUAGAGACUGGAAAUUGAAAGUGCCUCCAACAGAAAGAGACAACAGAAUACUGACAAGGAAAGGCAACACCAAGAUUUCCUUGAAAAACUUGAAGAUGAGGCAGUUGGGAAAAUGUCAACAAAUGUCAACAUCUAUCUCUGUGGAAAGUGACACAGACAAGAGGGAGCAUCUCAAAUGGGUUUGGCUGAGAUGCUUCAAGACCUUCACAUUCCUGAGAUGCACUGGGAAAGAAGAGGCAUCAGUGGUGACAGCCUGAGCCAUGGCUAUAGAUGGCUUCCACCUCUGUGGGCUCUCCUUACUUACUACAAGACAAAAUACCACUUACUGUCCACUCCAUCUGUGCCUCCAAAUGGCAAGAGCAGAAUAAAUAAGGACUGAAUAUGAAUAAAUAUGGCUACUUCAAUUUAAAAAAAUAGUAGAUGUAGGAAGAAACAGGAAAAUAUAACCCAUACAUGGAAAAAGUGGGCAGUAGAAAUCAACCAUGAAAUAACAGAACCUGGAAAUUUCAGGUGGGGAUCUUUAAGCUAUUGUAAAAAUACAUUCAAGGACUUAGAGGAAAAUAUGGUCAUAAUUUCAUCUGCUGAUAAAAUUGAUUAACCCAUAAUAAUCAAAAGGGUGGAAUUACUAUGAUAAGGAAUGAGAGAAUACAGCUGCAAUAAAUAUUAAUAUGUUGAAAGAGUAUCAUAAAUUGGUAUAUGACAAUAAAUUCUAUGUGGAUGAAAUAGAAAUGGAAUUAUUUGAAAAACACAAUUUACCAAACUCACUCAAGAUGAAAUAAGAAAGGUAAAGAACUUUAUAUGGUCUCAAAUUAAAACUGAUCUCCACAGCAGAGGAGACAUGAAGAGAGUCUACAGAAUAGGAGAAAGCUUUGCUAGUUGCUCCUCCAACAGGAGAUUAAUAUCCAGAAUAUAUAAAGAACCUCAAAAUAUAACACCAUGAAAACAAAUAACCCAACCAAUGAAUGGGCAAAAAAAUCAAAUACAAAUAGCCAACAUAUAUAUGAAAAACUGUUCAACAUCCUUAGCAAUCAGGCAAAUGAAAAUCAAAACCACACCGAUUUCAUUUCAUUUCACUUAGAAUGGCAAUCAUCAAGAAUACAAAUAAUGAUAUUUAGGAAAUAUGUAUACAUUUAAUUUUCAUUUCCUU